AUUAAAGUAAUAAUUAAAAUGUAGCAAUGUUGAAUAUUUCUUUACACUAGAUCUUCAUCUAGAGUUCUAUCAUGAAAAUCUUUAAAUAACCUCUUUAAUUAAAUAAGUAUAAUACUUAUAUAAAAGAGCAAUUACUUUUGAAACAAUUAGUUUUAUAUUUAAUUUUGGUACUUGGUAACUUAUAUUCUAGUUAAUUAUUUAUAAUUCAAUACUUCUUAAUGAACCAUAAUAAAAGUUUAAAAAUGGGCUCGAAGUUAAAGAUGAAUAAAAGAGUGUCUGGAAUUUCCAAUAGGAGUCAUAAAUCUGUUCUAAAUAAUGAUGUAUUUAUGAAAUCUGGUGUUGGGAAGCCAUCUAUUUACCAUGCACUAAUUAUUACUUUUUUAGAAUAUUUUACAUGGGGUUUACUAACUUUACCAACAGUUUCAAAGUUAAACAAUACAUUCCAAGAUCAUGCUUUACUAAUGAAUGGUAUUAUUUGGGGUAUAAAGGGACUGCUAUCAUUUUUGAGUGCACCUUUAAUUGGUGCUUUGUCUGAUGUCUGGGGACGAAAAUUUUUUUUAAUUUUGACUGUAUUUUUUACAUGCAUUCCAAUACCUUUUAUGAUCAUAGAUUCUGGGUGGUUUUUUGCAUUAACUAGUAUAUCUGGUUUAUUUUCUGUAACUUUUUCUGUUAUAUUUGCUUAUGUUGCUGACAUAAGUGAUGAAAGAGAGAGAAGUUACUAUUAUGGCCUGAUUACUGGAACUUUUGGUGCUAGUAUGGUAUUUGGGCCAGCUCUUGGAUCAUACAUUAUGGAAAUGUAUGGAAUAAAUUAUGUUGUAUUAUUAGCUUCAUUUAUAGCUAUAUUGAAUGUAUUAUUUAUUAUUGUUGUUGUUCCUGAAAGUUUACCUUAUAAGCUAAGAAUGUCUACCAAUUGUAUAUUAUGGGAACAUGCUGAUCCAUUUGUUGCUUUAAAAAUGGUUGGUCAUGAUCGUACCGUAUUAAUUCUUUGUUUGACUGUGUUUUUAUCCUAUCUUCCAGAAGCUGGAGAAUAUUCAUCAUUGUUUGUUUAUUUACGACUUGUAAUGGGCUUUAGUAUGAUAAAAGUAUCAGUGCUGAUUGCAGUAAUUGGCUUAUUGUCAGCAGCUAUUCAGUCUGUACUUGGAAUUAUUAUGAAAAUGUUAGGUGCAAAAUACACAAUAAUGAUUGGAUUAGUAUUUGAAAUAAUGCAACUAAUGUGGUUUGGAUUUGGUUCUGAAACAUGGGUUAUGUGGUCAGCUUGUGUUUUAGCUGCAAUUUCUAGUAUUACUUAUCCUGCCAUUAGUUCAUUUAUUUCUAUUCAUUCUGAUGCAGAUAAACAAGGUGUUGUUCAAGGUGUAGUAACUGGUGUGCGUGGUCUAUGUGGUGGCUUAGGACCAGCAAUAUUUGGAUUUACAUUUUACUUGUUUAAUGUUAAUCUAAAUGAGGGUAUACAAAUGGCACACACUUCACAUUCUUCCCAUCACUCAUUUAAUGAUACCAUUAUAAUUAAAAAUUUAAAAUAUAACUUUCAUAAUGACUCUUCUUCAUCACUUAUACCGGGACCUCCAUUUGUAUUUGGAUCUCUUCUUGUUGUGUGCGCCUUACUGGUAUCAGUGUUCAUACCUGAAGGUACAUCAAAUGUCUAUGAAAUGAGACCAAAGCAAAUUGAUGUAUAGUGUCAAAAUUCAAACGUGACCAAGUAAAAUUGUUGAAUUUUUUUUUUCAUUUAUCAUUUAUUGUUUUAAAAUUUAAAAAAAAUUUUGGUGCAUAUCUGGAAUUCUGUAAACUAAAUAUUUUUAUCUAGCAGAUCUAAUAUCAUAUCUCUAAUCAAUAAUACAGAUGCAAUUUAAGAACUCUAAGAAAAAAUUUUCAUAAAUUUCAUACCACAUUAUUAAAAGGGAAGGGUAUAAUAAUAUUGACUACUCAUCUGCUUAUAUGAAUCAAAUUUAAAUUGUGUUACUACUAUUGGAUUUCAAAUGCAUUGUCAGUUAAAGAAGGAAGAAAAAAAUAUUUAAGAUGAUAACAUUAAUAUUUUGAUUAGCUAAAUUAAACUAAUAUAAAAAUAGUUCACACUGAUAGUAUAAGACUUGUCUAUGAAAAUAUGUGUUUUGUAGAUUAUGUUGAUAUUAUUUUAUUGUACAUCAUAUUUUUAGUCAAGAUGUAAAAACAUUUUUUUUUUUUUUUUAAUGUUAAAAAACUCGUUUUUACAUCUCUAAUUCAAAGUUGUCUCAUUAUUUUAAGUUUUUAUCUUGAAUCACUGUAAAAAAGUUUAUUAUAUUUUGUAUGUCGAUCUCUUAAUUACACUAAGUAUUUUUCAAUUAAUACAUACAUGAUAAAUUGACAA